rnacentral:rRNA from 1 species
GAAGGUGGCAAGCGUUGUUCGGAAUCAUUGGGCUUAAAGCGCACGUAGGCGGACUGGAAAGUGUCUUGUGAAAACCCACGGCUUAACCGUGGAAUUGCUUGGCAAACUAUCAGUCUUGAGGCAAGUAGGGGUACAUGGAACUCUUAGUGGAGCGGUGGAAUGCGUAGAUAUUAAGAGGAACGCCAAUGGUGAAGACAGUGUACUGGGCUUGUACUGACGCUGAGGUGCGAAAGCGUGGGGAGCGAACGGGAUUAGAUACCCCGGUAGUCCACGCCGUAAACGAUGUCUACUAGAUCGUGGGAGUUCUGACACUUUCACGGUCGAAGCAAAAGUGUUAAGUAGACCGCCUGGGGAGUACGGUCGCAAGGCUA